UAGAGGGUUCAGGGUAUCUCCUAGUCGAGCAGUCUCGACUAGAGCCUUCUUACUUGUUUUUGUUUGGACUACUUUGCGCGCGAUUCGACUUCGGCUCUGGCUAUCGACAACUGAACUUGAUUUCAAUUGAUAACAAAAUCAGCUCGCAACAAAAAUGAUGACGAAGACGAAGAUGCCAACGACAACGACAACGACAACGACAACGACGCUGUUAUCGCUGCCGCUAAUAGCGAGUCGUAGCUGGCUUAUCAACAGGCUCCGGCGUCGUUGUCAACGUCGCUGGUCGGGAGGCUCGAAGUUUAGCCCAGCAGCGUCGCGGGGCUGUCGAGCGUUUAGUCGCUCGUUUGGCUUAUUGAUUCGGCCAGAUCGUGGCGCUGCUUUAGCAGCUAAGCGCACGCUCUGUUGCCGUCGCCGCCGCCGUCGUUGUUGACGCUGCCUCUCUGCUGGCGUCGCUGCGACGCUUAAUGAAACGCUUUGACGCGUUAUAAUAACAAGUGUUUGCCGUCUUUGGACAUUCAGUGUAUAAUAUCCCGGCGUACGGUGCAGACGACGUCGCCAAAAAAAAAAAAAAACAAGCAAACAAAAUAAUAAUAACAAGAAAGUCCAAUUAAAUAAUAAAAAAUUAUAAAUAAUAUACGAAAAAAUAAAAUAGAGAACUUAAAUAGCUACGGAAGCGACGCGGCAGACCCUUUUGUCACGACUUGUAUAGUGUUUUUUGUUGUUUUUGUUUGUGACAAAAAAAAAAGGAACCAAAAAAGUAAUAAAUAAAUAGUUAAAUAAAUCAAGAAAGCCGAAAAAAGUGCACUAAAAAACACUCGCCAUAAAUAAACUUUUUUUUUUUUUUCAAAAUUUAGUGCCGAAAAAAGAAAAAACAAAAACCAAAACCAACACCAACAAAGUGUAAGCUGAGUGUCACUGUGAAGUUUUUUUAAAGCAAAACCAUAUCAACGGUCCGGUGACUAAAGCUCUGUCCUGUCUCCGCCCAACAAAGAUCUAUUACCCGCCACGCCUACACCCACACACCACACACACACACACACACCGACACACACACGGACACACGCACCCGCCUCGAAGAACUGGAGACGCACACCAACGAACUGGACACAGGACGUUAUACACUACACACACAAGCACACACACAUACAUACACCACACACACACACACAUACACACCACUCACACAACACAAUGUAAACCAAAUGGCUUUGGUUUUUUUCAAUAAAAUUUUUUAUUCAAUUUAUAUUUCUUAGAGAUUUUCCAAAAAAACA